rnacentral:rRNA from 1 species
GACGAACGCUGGCGGCGUGCCUAAUACAUGCAAGUCGACCUUAGUGGCGAACGGGUGAGUAACAAGUGGGUAACCUGCCCAUAAGAAGGGGAGAAAACUUGGAAAAAGGUGCUAAAACCGUAUACUGAUGGAUGGACUCGCGUUGGAUUAGCUAGUUGGUGAGGUAACGGCUCACCAAGGCCAAGAUGACUAGCCGACCUGAGAGGGUGAUCGGCCACAUUGGGACUGCGACACGGCCCAAACUCCUACGGGAGGCAGCAGUAGGGAAUCUUCGGCAAUGGACGAAAGCCUGACCGAGCAACGCCGCGUGAGUGAAGAAGGUUUUCGGAUCGUAAAGCUCUGUUGUUAGAGAAGCGGUAUCUAACCAGAAAGCCACGGCUAACUACGUGCCAGCCGCCGCGGUAAUUC